GACGAACGCUGGCGGCGUGCCUAAUACAUGCAAGUUGAGCGCUGAAGGUUGGUACUUGUACCCACUGGAUGAGCAGCGAACGGGUGAGUAACGCGUGGGGAAUCUGCCUUUGAGCGGGGGACAACAUUUGGAAACGAAUGCUAAUACCGCAUAAAAACUUUAAACACAAGUUUUAAGUUUGAAAGAUGCAAUUGCAUCACUCAAAGAUGAUCCCGCGUUGUAUUAGCUAGUUGGUGAGGUAAAGGCUCACCAAGGCGAUGAUACAUAGCCGACCUGAGAGGGUGAUCGGCCACAUUGGGACUGAGACACGGCCCAAACGCCUACGGGAGGCAGCAGGAGGGAAUCUUCGGAAAUGGACGAAAGUCUGACCGAGCAACGCCGCGUGAGUGAAGAAGGUUUUCGGAUCGUAAAACUCUGUUGGUAGAGAAGAACGUUGGUGAGAGUGGAAAGCUCAUCAAGUGACGGUAACUACACAGAAAGGGACGGCUAACUACGUG
rnacentral:rRNA from 1 species